rnacentral:snRNA from 1 species
AUACUUACCUGGCAGGGGAGACACCCUGAUCUGGCAGGUUGUUUUCCCAGGGCGAGGAUCAUCCCUUGCGCUCCGGGUGUGCUGGCCCCUGUGUUUUCCCCAAAUGCGGGAAACUCAACUGCAUCAUUUGUGGUAGUGGGGGACUGUGUUCAAGUUCUCCCCUG